rnacentral:rRNA from 1 species
CAGCAGCCCGGUAAUACGAAGGGUGCAAGCGUUAAUCGGAAUUACUGGGCGUAAAGCGUGCGUAGGCGGUGAGUUAAGUCUGCUGUGAAAUCCCCGGGCUCAACCUGGGAAUGGCAGUGGAUACUGGCUCGCUAGAGUGUGUCAGAGGAUGGUGGAAUUCCCGGUGUAGCGGUGAAAUGCGUAGAGAUCGGAAGGAACAUCUGUGGCGAAGGCGACUAUCUGGGCCAACACUGACACUGAGGCACGAAAGCGUGGGGAGCAAACAGGAUUAGAUACCCCAGUAGUCCCUGUCUCUUAUACC